CACGGAGAGGGCUGAGGGGCUUGAGGGGCCGGCUCCCAACACUGUAAUUUCUUGGACGCCUGAUUGUAUUCGAACUGGACAGAGGUGUAAAGCUGUUCCUUCUCAUCCUUACAGGGGUUUGGUUCUUGGGAAAGUUGUUGGCUGGCUUGUCGCGGUGAGUGUUCACGGCCUCCACGUUGACCUUGAUCGUUUCCACUUUGCACCCUGGGAACACGGAGGAAAGGAAAGAGGCCUUUGGGGGGCAGAGCUCCGAGAGAGAUCCCUCUGUUUCCGUAUGGG